CUCGCAACGUGCAACACACAGAAAGCUCAAGGACUGGCAAGCUCUUUAAUAACAAUACAGCUCCGGCAAAUUGUUUUAGCUACAACCAAGGAUGUCUUCAAGGCUGUGAUAGCAUAGCAACAGAGGUAGCAGUGCAGGUAUGGUGGUACGGUUGACAAUAAUUCCAGCUCUUGACCAGAUGAUGCAGCACGAACAAGAGUUGUGUGCAAGCUUGGUCCUCGGAACCAGUUAGGACCAGCCUGAGCUAUGUAGUAAAGACUGACUCAAAGCACCCAGGGCUGACUGUGGACAUCAAUAUGGUGGUUCCUCAGAAGACUGGGAAUCAUUCUACUUCAAGAUCCAGCUCUACCACUUUUGAGCAUAUCUCCAAAGGACCAUCCACCCUAGACAAAGUCAGUUGCUCAACGAUGCUCAUUGUGGCUUUAUUCAUAAUAGCCAGAAACUGGUAACAACGGAGAUGUCCCUCAGCCAAAGGAUGGAUAAAGAAAAUGUGGUACAUUAAUACAAUGGAAUAUUACUCAGUUGAUUUUUUUUAACAACACCAUAAAAUUUGCAGGCAAAUAGAUGCUACUAAGAAAAACUAUCAUCUUGAGUGAAAAAACUCAACCCCAGAGGGAUAAAGAUGGAUUCACUUAUAGAUAAAUGGGUACUGGCUGUUAUAUAAUGGAUAAUCAAACUACAAUCCACAGGCCCAAAGAGUGGGUAAAGAGGAGAGUAGCAUGGGUAUCCCCAGGAAAUAUAAUACAUUUGGGGAGUGGCCUUGAGCUUGUGGGGGCAGCAGUCGGGGGAUGAGGUCAGAGUACAGAGCUGGCCAUGGGGCUCAGCAUUAGCAAGUCCGAUCACCAUUUUCUCAGCACUGGGAGCAGUGACUGUGUCGCACUCCUCAGUCGCAGUUACCAGCUGAUUGGUAACUUCUUUUUCUCUCCUUCUUUCUUUUGGCCUAAGCACUGACAAUCCAGAGUUCAGACUUUGAACUUAUUUCCAUUCUACUGCUUCCAUUAGUGCUGUUUCUCUAGCCACACAAAGUCCCAUCCUGGGUUGACACUCCACAACCUUUGCCCCAGCCCAACUCACUCCUCCUGAAUCCCAGACCCCUGGCAGCUGCCCAAAUGGAUGCCUACUGACAUUGUAUUUACCAUUUCAAACACCUAUUCCUUAAAAUCUCUCCCUCUGCUGCCAAUUACAUUACUGAGCUGGGCUUCUCUCUCAGUGCCUCCUGCCUCUCUCACUCAAUUCUUGAUGCCCUCAAUAUCUCUUAUUAUCUCUCACUCUCCUCAACAUCUCUGCAUUAGACUUCCAGAAGCACUUUUUUUUUUUUUUUUUUUUUUUGCCUCAGGACUUCAGAGCAUGCUCCCUCUCUGUCCAUGGCUCCCUGUCCUUCCCCACUCCAUGCAUCUGUAUAGCUUGGCCCCUCACGUCCUUGGCUCAAAUUUAACCACUUCCUGGAACAUUCUGCUAACCGUUUAAGACGAACUCGCCAUCCCUAAGUUUUGUUUAGUUUAUAAUUGUAAUCUGUAUUCUGUGCUAGUCAUCUUCCCAUCACUGUAACAAAUAUCUGAGGUAAACUCAUCAAAAGAAAAGGGAUUUUGAGCCCACAGGUCUAGGAGGUUUCAGCCAACAGUUGACUGGCUCGGCUGCCUUGGGUCUGUGAUAAGGCAGCAGGCAGCCAUGUAGAAGACAAGGACUGCUUAUGCCCUCCUAGGGAACAAGAGGGUGGAGCUAGGACUGAUAGUACUAGUUCUUCGGUGGCCUCUAGCUUCCAUUUUUUUAUUUGUAUGUUUGUUUGUUUUGUUUUUAUUUCUGUUUUUUUCAAGAGACAGCUUCUCUGUGUAGCUCUGGCUCUCCUGGAAAUUGUUCUCUAGCCCAGGCUGGCCUCAGACUCACAGCAAUCUGCCUUCCUCUACCGCCCUAGUGCUAGACUCAGAGGUCCACACUACCAUGCCUGGCUCACUUGCUUUCUUUUUGUUUUUGUUUUAGUUUUUUUGUUUUUUAAACAUUAGGACAUUGUAUCACCAUCUUGCUGACUGGCCUAGGACUUGCCUUGUAGACCAAGCGGAUCUGAACUCAGAGAUCCGACUGCCUCUGCCUUCAGAUGUAUGCCCUAGCAUUUUGGGCUUAGGGUUUUGCUUUAAUCUUAAAAUUUCCAUCUCCUCUUAACAGUAUGGUAAGAUGGUGACCCAUCCUCCAGUGAAAAGGCCUUUAGAUAAUACUCCAGAUAUUUUGAUAUAAAGUGUAGAAAUCACAAAGUGCACUCCUAAAUUAUAUUAGCAUCUGCAUAGCCUCACUAGAAUGGGAGUUCUAGACAGACAGCUGUUUAUCUCCCCCUCCAUGCCAUAUCCCUAAAACACCUAGAAUGUUGCCUGACACGAGUUCACAUGUAUGGAUGAAUGAUGGCGUUGACCUAGUGCUUACAGAUUUUUUUCUAACUGAAACAUGGUAACCAAUAUACUUAACCUAGAUAAUUAUUCUCUAAGGAAUAUGUCUGCUACCACAAUAUACAUAAGUAGGCAAUAUUUAAGUUACUGAUAUUCAUGCCCAACUAAAACAUCACAGAUACUUAUUAAAAAUGGCAUUUACUGUGUGGAUCAUUCUUCUAAAUGCGUUACGGUAUUCAGAAGUUUAAUUGUGCUACAGUGCUAGAAUUGCAAGGGAGAAAAGGCGGCACAAAGAUAUCAAAUUCGCUUUUCAGUUAGUACAGUCUCGAGUGCAGUCAGGAGGGGUGUAGAGUGCUCACACCCUAGAUGCCACUGUACCCCACCUCUUCUCCAGUAUGAAUACUAUCAGAGGAAUGUCUGCAGAGUGACUAAUUCCUAAUCAGUAGACAAAAUCUAAUGUCCACUGUCCUGCUGUCUCUGAUGAUAGCUACAUUCCUCAAAGGCCAGGGGGUCACUUGAUUCACAUUUAUGUGAAUCACACGCUGGGGCUGGGGAGAUAGGGAAAGAAGCCACCAGAAAGUACUCACUUAAUGUGAUUUUUAAAGUUAUGAAAUACAGCAGAGCUUCUCUUGAUGAGUCAAUGUGAAUUUCCCUCCAUUCUGUAAAUAUCAGGACAGCUUGAAGCCAGAAAGGAUCCACACCAAGGUUCAAGCAAACUGAAUGUUAAAAUCAGAUCUUUAAGGUCUUAACACAGGGUGGAUGGAGGGUCUCACUCAACAAAUAAGUCCCACUAGCAGUAGUACCAAAUCUAUAUAUAGUUAUGAUGGUUUAUAAACAGAGACUAAAUGAUAGAAAGACCUAAGCUCUUCCCUUUUACUUUUUAUUUCCUGGGUCCUAUUUAUUUCAAUUUACUUAUUUAUUUUAAACAACUCAGGCUGACUGUGUAACUGCGACAGGUCUUGAACUUCUGACCGUCUAUCUUCUGCAUGCUGGGAUGGGAGUUGCCAUUCUGCUUACUUUAUGAGGUGCUGGGGAAUGAACCCAGGGCCUUGUGCAGGCCAGGCAAGCACUUACUUCAUCAAUGGAGCCACCUCCCUAACCCAAUUCUGGGUUCUUUUAAGUAAAACUCCCUCUUUAAUCAUGAAUCGGAGCUGUACCUCCUAGUCUCUGCCAUUCCUAGUCAUCUAUUUAGGGUCUUGUGCUGCAAAUGGCACAGUAACAUGCCUUCCUUUGUGCUUUAUCUCUCUGGCAUAGAACUGAUUUUAAUAAAACUUUCUCUUAUUU